rnacentral:lncRNA from 1 species
CAGAUCGGGGAGAUUUCAAGUAGAAUCUCUUGAUGUGUUUGAAAUAUCAAUUGAUAAUCUGAAAUACGACACACCUGUUGACUCUUCUGGUGAUGGGUAAAGGAGCUCUUUCCUUUCUUAACAUUCAACAACGUAAGAAGAAAUAUCAUCACUGCGCUAGAAAAGCAGUUGGUUAUUUGACUCUCACUUCAGGGGGGAAAGGGGAAAAAGUCAUUUACUGAAAAUUCAACUGGGGUUUGAAAUUGUUAGUGUCUUUACAGUGGCAAUUUAUCCCCAGUCUUACACUUCUUGUGUGCACUUCCAAGUGGAAGUAAUACCUUGGUCCACCGUGGAAAUCAGGAAACAGAACACAGAAGUUGACCAAUGUUGGCUGUUUGGAGGUAGGCUGGCCAAACUGAUGCAGACGUUUUCUUAUCAGGACCAGAAACCUGUGAGCGCCAGGGAACUAGCCGCUCACGCUCCCUUCACUCUGCUAGGCAUUUUCCAAACAGACGGAAGGACUCAGGGCUUCAGAAAUUCUGAUCAGAGUACUCACCUGAAAUUACUCCUUCUCGCUCACCCAGGCCCACCCAGGGGAGCUAAGCUCUGCAAGAAAGCAGGGCCUGGCGACAGGACGUGAGUUUGAAGCACCUUCCGAACACCUUGAAAACCACGAAAAACAAUCUUGAAAACUUAACUGGUUUGGUCAGUUAGAUUGAAUCCUUCACAAAACCACUUCUAGGAGCAUUGUACAGAGACUGAGGACGUGGCAUAAAGAUCCAACCACCGUCUCUCCAGCCUUGAACAAUGAGAGGAGCCUUCAGGGCCGGAUGAAACGAAACCUAAACUUCCAUCUCACAGCGGCUGGGAAGGAGCUCUGUGACCUCCUCUCCAAUCCAAGAACUCCAGGUGAUGUGCUGAACAGGGCUGGAGCAAAUCCUCGGGCAGCUCAUUAUGGAUGUUUCUGCUAAAUGGACACCUCAUAGCAGCGCAAGACAUUUUCCUUUGCACUGCGUGGUUUCAUCAAGGGCAGCCAGUUUUCUUGUUUGGUCAGUAAAUCUCAGCUGUUGCCUUCUUCAAGACUCCUCUUCACACAUAAGAAGCACCUCCAAAAUCCAGUAAGACCCCAUUAUUUUUUUUUUUUUUAUCUCUGCUAAGUUCAAACUCAUCAUUUUCUCUUGACAACAGCUCGAAGGGCUCCCUGAGGGGCUGGCCGUGUAACGCAACCACCCCCCCCCCCCCCCCCGCCCCAAACUCUCAAAGCCAAUAACUGUUUGCCAGAUUUUGUUUCCUAGUUAUGUAUGAAGCUCCACAGCAAAAGGAAGUGGGGACUCAACGAAGAUAAAUUAGAAGAGCUGGGGCCCAAGAAAAAUGUUCCAGUUAGAGCAUUCCAGGGGAUCAUUUUACAGUGUUUACUCUUUAUUUUGAGGGAAUGAGAAGACCGGUCAGAAAAUGUAAUCAACUAAUUUACAUCUGCCCUGUCAGACAUCAGAAUAAGCCAGUGAAACAUAUGUCUGCUGACCUGAAAUUCUU